rnacentral:rRNA from 1 species
UGGGGAAUUUUCCGCAAUGGGCGAAAGCCUGACGGAGCAAUACCGCGUGAGUGAAGAAGGCCUUAGGGUUGUAAAGCUCUUUCAGUCGUGACGAUGAUGACGGUAGCGACAGAAGAAGCCCCGGCUAACUCCGUGCCAGCAGCCGCGGUAAUACGGAGGGGGCAAGCGUUGUUCGGAUUUACUGGGCGUAAAGGGCGCGUAGGCGGGGUAUCCAGUUAGGGGUGAAAGCCCGGGGCUCAACCUCGGAACUGCCUUUAAAACUGAUACUCUAGAGUCCGGAAGAGGGUCGCGGAAUUCCCAGUGUAGAGGUGAAAUUCGUAGAUAUUGGGAAGAACACCGGUGGCGAAGGCGGCGACCUGGUCCGGUACUGACGCUGAGGCGCGAAAGCGUGGGGAGCAAACAGGAUUAGAUACCCCCGUAGUCC